ACCGAAUAGAUACCCAGGUAGUCCUAGCCGUAAACGAUGCUCGCUAGGUGUCACAACAGUCGUGAAACUGUUGUGGUGCCGUAGGGAAGCCGUGAAGCGAGCCACUUGGGAAGUACGACCGCAAGGUUGAAACUUAAAGGAAUUGGCGGGGGAGCACCACAACGGGUGGAGCCUGCGGUUUAAUUGGACUCAACGCCGGGAAGCUUACCGGGAUCGACAGUUGUAUGAAGGCCAGGCUGAAGACCUUGCCGGACUAUCUGAGAGGAGGUGCAUGGCCGCCGUCAGUUCGUACCGUGGGGCGUCCUGUUAAGUCAGGCAACGAGCGAGACCCAUGCCCACUGUUGCUAACGCGUCCCGCAAGGGAUGGCGAGUACACGGUGGGGACCGCUGGCGCUAAGUCAGAGGAAGGGGUGGUCGACGGUAGGUCAGUAUGCCCCGGAAUAUCCCGGGGCUACACGCGGGGCUACAAUGGACAGGGACAAUGGGCUACUACACCGAAACGGUGGCGUCAAUCUCUUAAACCUGUCCUUAGUUCGGAUCGAGGGCUGUAACUCGCCCU
rnacentral:rRNA from 1 species